GUCCACGCCGUAAACGUUGGGCACUAGGUGUGGGAGGCUGUCAACGCCUUCCGUGCCGUAGCUAACGCAUUAAGUGCCCCGCCUGGGGAGUACGGCCGCAAGGCUAAACUCAAAGGAAUUGACGGGGCCCGCACAAGCGGCGGAGCAUGUUGCUUAAUUCGAUGCAACGCGAAGAACCUUACCUGGGUUUGACAUGUAGGGAAAAGCCAUAGAGAUAUGGUGUCCUUCGGGGCCCUACACAGGUGGUGCAUGGCUGUCGU
rnacentral:rRNA from 1 species